rnacentral:lncRNA from 1 species
UUUUUUUUUUUUUUGUCUUUUUGCCAUUUCUAGGGCUGCACCUGCGGCAUAUGCAGGUUCCUAGGCUAGGGGUCUAAUCGGAGCUGUAGCCGCCAGCCUACACCACAGCCACAGCAACGCUGGAUCCUUAACCCACUGAGCAAGGCCGGGGAUUGAACCCGCAACCUCAUGGUUCCUAGUCAGAUUCGUUAACCACUGUGCCACGACGGGAACUCCUAGCAAACACUUUCUUUAGCACAGCCUCUGCACCACAGACAGACCGAAACCCGGGGACGGGAGGGUGCCCACAGUGGCAGAGCUGCGUGAGAACCCAGGCGGUUUGGCCUCAGCGUCCCUGCUCUCAACCUCUCUGCCAUUUGUGGUUCGAAGGGAAAAAAAAGGGUAAACCCUGCAAAAAAUAGCUACCUCUGUUCCUGUGGCUUGGGGGUCAGAGCAACGCCACAUGUCACCCUUUGGACAAAGCAUGGACCCAGGCUGCUGUCCACGGGAGCAGGGGUGAUGUGUGCUGAAGGCCUCUCUGGACCAGGUACCAGGUACCAGGGACCCUGCUGCCGUCACUGGGGAGAGCGGGGAGGUCAGGGUGCCAAAUGGGAGCUCCCAGAGUUCAGUUGUAAACAGGUAUGAGGACAGUGCCCCCCAGGGUUUACUGUGAAAAGGCUUUUCUCUCCGGGACGCCCCAGUUCCCUGGCCCACUGGCUUGGAAGCAGCCCCGCCUGGCCUCUUGGGAUCCAGGAGCAGGCCAGUGAGGAAGAUGCCCCACCAGCCGAAGGGGCUGCAUUCAGGAGUGGCUGUGAAGAAAAGCACGAAAUCUGGGCGGCAUCAAGGCAGGCAGGAAAAGAGUUCCCACUGUGGCUCAGUGGUAACAAACCCAACUAGGAUCCAAGAGGAUGAGGGUUCGAUCCCUGGCCUUGCUCAGUGGGUUAAGGAUCUGGUGUUGCUGUGAGAUGUGGUGUAGGUCGAAGACACAGCUCUGAUAGUACGUUGCUGUGGCUGCGGCUUGGCCGGCAGCUGUAGCUCCAGUUCAACCCCUGGCCUGGGAACUUCCAUAUGCCACAGGUGCAGCCCUAAAAACUUUAAAAAAAUAAUAAUAAAAAUAAAUAAAUUUUUUAAAAGGAUUUAAUUUUCACACCAACCCAACAAGGCGGCUACUAUUCUCCUUGUCUUAUCAACAGGAAACUCGGGUAUUGUUCUGCUGGAACAAGAGAGGGCCAGGAGGCAACCCUCCCAAACUGGGUGUGUUUGGCCAGGGCUGAGCAGAGCUGUAACGGUCUUUGAGCAAAGCAUUAGGGAUACUGUUUUUUGUUCUUUUUCUUAAAGACAGGCCAAAUAAAAUGGGAUGCAGGUUAGACUCCAGAAGAAACCUUCCCAACGGUAAAGAGAGGUUAGAGAGUACACUUGCUGGGAUAGAUCCCUGAACACUGCAUCACUCCAUCACGUGCCUGGUUUCCAGGCAGGAGGCUGGACCAUCUGACCUCUGUCACCACGAGAGCAUCACCUAACUCACUCAGACUACCUGGCUCCAGCUCCAGUCUUGAGGGAGGCUUUUGGACAAGGCAAAUCUGAGGUUAAACCCAUCCUUUGCUAAAUGUGACCAGCAGAUGGGUGGAGAGUCCUGAUACGAAGAUGAAGUGUGGGCUUUGCGGAUUUAGUCAAUGAGCAAAUUUAGCCCAAGCGUGGUACUGAUUGAUAAACGCCAACUAUUUCACCUGUUGGAUGACGUGGUUCGUCAAACCAGCAGGGACCGAGAUGGCUAUGGGAAGUGUGGCAGGCAACCCACUUGGGCAGAAAACUACUCAGGAAGCCCCGUCCUGCGUGGGCCACCCUCGCCUCCUCGCUCUUGGAGGUCUGGAAAGACACAGAUGAUCUGCUGUUGCCCUGAGCUGCCUGGGCCAACGCAUGUGUCUGGUCCUAGAACAGAAGACUCCACGAACAGGGCUAUGAUCAGCCAGGGAAUGCAGGCCACCCUGUCAGGAGAAGGGGGUGCCUGGGGUCCCAGAUCAUACACAAGAUGCUCAGUCUGGUCUAAAGUAAAGCUCCCAGUUCUUUUCUUAUUAUUACUAUUUUUUUUUUUUUUUUUUUUAGGGCUACACCCGCAGCAUAUGGAGGUUCCCAGGGUAGGGGUCAGAUUGGAGCUGCAGCUGCUGGC